rnacentral:rRNA from 1 species
GACGAACGCUGGCGGCGUGCUUAAUACAUGCAAGUCGAACGCUGAAGGAGGAGCUUGCUUCUCUGGUUGAGUUGCGAACGGGUGAGUAACGCGUAGGUAACCUGCCUGGUAGCGGGGGAUAACUAUUGGAAACGAUAGCUAAUACCGCAUAAUAGUAGAUGUCGCAUGAUAUUUGCUUGAAAGGUGCAAUUGCAUCACUAGCAGAUGGACCUGCGGUGUAUUAGCUAGUUGGUGAGGUAUCGGCGCACCAAGGCAACGAUACAUCGCCGACCGGAGAGGGGGAGCAGCCAGACUGGGAGGGUGACACGCCACAGACGCCUACGGGAAGCAGCAAGAGUGAAUCUGCGGGAAUGGACGGAAGAUUGACCAAACAACGCCGAAGCAGGAAAGAACAAUGUCGGAUCGGAAAUCUCGGUUGUAGGGGAGGAACGAGUUUUAGAGUGGAAAGUACACACAGUGACGGUAACUUACCAGAAAGAAACGGCUAACUACGUG